rnacentral:rRNA from 1 species
UACGUAGGAGACAAGCGUUGUCCGGAAUUACUGGGCGUAAAGGGCGCGUAGGCGGCCAGCACAAGUCAGUUGUGAAAUCUCCGGGCUUAACUCGGAAAGGUCAACUGAUACUGUGCGGCUAGAGUGCAGAAGGGGCAACUGGAAUUCUCGGUGUAGCGGUGAAAUGCGUAGAUAUCGAGAGGAACACCUGCGGCGAAGGCGGGUUGCUGGGCUGACACUGACGCUGAUGCGCGAAAGCCAGGGGAGCGAACGGG